GUAAACGAUGAGUGCUAGGUGUCGGGGGUCGAACCUCGGUGCCGCAGUUAACACAUUAAGUAUUCCGCCUGGGGAGUACGGUCGCAAGACUGAAACUCAAAGGAAUUGACGGGGACCCGCACAAGCAGCGGAGCAUGUGGUUUAAUUCGAAGCAACGCGAAGAACCUUACCAAAUCUUGACAUCCUUUUGACCAUCAUUUAAUCAUGAUCUCUCUUCGGAGCAGAAGUGACAGGUGGUGCAUGGUUGUCGUCAGCUCGUGUCGUGAGAUGUUGGGUUAAGUCCCGCAACGAGCGCAACCCUUGUCUUUAGUUGUCAUCAGGUAAUGCUGGACCCUCUAAAGAGACUGCCGGUGAUAAACCGGAGGAAGGUGGGGAUGACGUCAAAUCAUCAUGCCCCUUAUGAUUUGGGCUACACACGUGCUACAAUGGUCGGUACAACAGGCAGCGAAAGGGUAACCUGGAGCGAAUCCUCUAAAGCCGAUCUCAGUUCGGAUUGUGGGCUGCAACUCGCCCACAUGAAGUUGGAGUUGCUAGUAAUCGUGAAUCAGAAUGUCGCGGUGAAUGCGUUCCCGGGUCUUGUACACACCGCCCGUCACACCAUGGAAGUUGGGGGCGCCCGAAGCCAGUGAUCCAACCGUAAGGAGGAAGCUGUCGAAGGUGAAACCAAUGACUAGGGUGAAGUCGUAACAAGGUACCCGGU
rnacentral:rRNA from 1 species